AGAGUGAACGCUGGCGGCAGGCCUAAUACAUGCAAGUCGAACGGCAGCACGGCAGAGCUUGCUCUGUGGGUGGCGAGUGGCGGACGGGUGAGGAAUACAUGGGAAUCUGCCCAGUCGUGGGGGAUAACGUAGGGAAACUUACGCUAAUACCGCAUGCGCCCUUCGGGGGAAAGCCGGGGACCUUCGGGCCUGGCGCGAUUGGAUGAGCCCAUGUCGGAUUAGCUAGUUGGCGGGGUAACGCCCACAAGGCGACGAUCCGUAGCUGGUCUGAGAGGAUGAUCAGCCACACUGGAACUGAGACACGGUCCAGACUCCACGGGAGCAGCAGUAGGGAUAUGGACAUGGGCACAAGCCUAGACUCCGAGCCAUCGCCGCGGUGAGUAGAAGGAAGGCCGUUCGGGUU
rnacentral:rRNA from 1 species